GGGAGUGAAUGGGGCUGCAGGGGUUGUCUCUGUCAGACGGUAAAAUGGACCACAGCAAGUCAAGGAAAAAAAAUAAGGAUGGUAAAUGGCAGGCUCCAUUGGCAAGGAGGCCAUAAACUCCAUUUAAGGACCAUGCCUGAUUUCAAACCAAACGUCAACUCUCCCAGGAACGGAUUAUAACCGCACACCUUAAAUCAUCGGUCCCUGGAAAUGGCAUUAAAACAUCAGCUCCAGGAAUAGAAUAUAAACCCCAGUUAAAGGCUAUAAAGUCCAUCCAAAGAGCCGCUGGGAGACAAGCACAAGGAUGGGCCAAUACGUCUCGGUGGCCCUCUGUGCUGGGAAGCUUCCUACAGUUUGGGCAUCUCACCCUAUGGUUAAAUAUUCAUGGCAUGGCAUCCACUGACCACCGGGCACAAGCCAACCCCAAUUCAAGCUCUUCCUGGUACAAGGCGGCUGCCAGGACCUGGUGUCAUUCUAAGUGGUCACAGGAUGAGACCCUGCAAGAGGAUCUCCAUUUCAGCUUCCAAGAGGCCUCAUUGUGGACAGACCCUGGAUACAGGCAGCUAGAGGCUGGAGAACCCCCGUUCAUCAAGCCUGAUGUGCAGAAGAUACUGGAGCUGCAGAUUAGCAAGAGGGUAGAACUGAAGCUCUGGAAAGAGCAAGGAAGGGAGAGCUUUGACCACGCCUUGAGCUGUGUGGGUGAUAUGCUGCAGUCCUGGAGCAGCGAGCAG
rnacentral:lncRNA from 1 species